rnacentral:rRNA from 1 species
CCUACGGGGGGCUGCAGUGGGGAAUAUUGCACAAUGGGCGCAAGCCUGAUGCAGCCAUGCCGCGUGUGUGAAGAAGGCCUUCGGGUUGUAAAGCACUUUCAGCGGGGAGGAAGGCGGUGAGGUUAAUAACCUCAUCGAUUGACGUUACCCGCAGAAGAAGCACCGGCUAACUCCGUGCCAGCAGCCGCGGUAAUACGGAGGGUGCAAGCGUUAAUCGGAGUUACUGGGCGUAAAGCGCACGCAGGCGGUCUGUCAAGUCGGAUGUGAAAUCCCCGGGCUCAACCUGGGAACUGCAUUCGAAACUGGCAGGCUAGAGUCUUGUAGAGGGGGGUAGAAUUCCAGGUGUAGCGGUGAAAUGCGUAGAGAUCUGGAGGAAUACCGGUGGCGAAGGCGGCCCCCUGGACAAAGACUGACGCUCAGGUGCGAAAGCGUGGGGAGCAAACAGGAUUAGAUACCCGUGUAGUC